AAAGAGAGAGAGAGUGACCAUUGAGCUCAGCCAGGAGUGAGUGAAAUGGCCAAAGGCUUACAGGAAACUAUACGACGGCAAUGAGAAAACAACAAUUCGGUCUCAUCAACCGAGAGGGACAGCCCCCCGUGUGCCCUCCCUGCUCUCUCGCCUUGUUUGUGGACCACCCAAGAGAGCCUCAGUGGCAGACUACCUAAGAAGAUAAAUGUGCCAUACAGAAUUAGCUGUGGUUGUGGAUAGCACUUUCUCCAGACCUUACAUAACAGAAAUAGAAGACAUCACACAGUGUAAAAUCCGCUCCUGCCAGAGAUUUGGGAUGGGACCGCCGCAGCUCCCCG